CCCAGACUCCUACGGGAGGCAGCAGUGGGGGAUAUUGCACAAUGGGGGGAACCCUGAUGCAGCGACGCCGCGUGGGUGAAGGAGCGUUUCGGCGCGUAAAGCCCUAUCGGCAGGGAAGAAGGAGGACGGUACCUGACUAAGAAGCCCCGGCUAACUACGUGCCAGCAGCCGCGGUAAUACGUAGGGGGCAAGCGUUAUCCGGAUUUACUGGGUGUAAAGGGGGCGCAGACGGCAGCGCAAGCCAGGAGUGAAAGCCCGGGGCCCAACCCCGGGACUGCUCUUGGAACUGCGCGGCUGGAGUGCAGGAGGGGCAGGCGGAAUUCCUGGUGUAGCGGUGAAAUGCGUAGAUAUCAGGAGGAACACCGGUGGCGAAGGCGGCCUGCUGGACUGCGACUGACGUUGAGGCCCGAAAGCGUGGGGAGCAAACAGGAUUAGAUACCCGAGUAAA
rnacentral:rRNA from 1 species